rnacentral:rRNA from 1 species
UACGAAGGGAGCUAGCGUUGUUCGGAAUCACUGGGCGUAAAGCGCACGUAGGCGGAUUUGCCAGUCAGGGGUGAAAUCCCGGGGCUCAACCUCGGAACUGCCUUUGAUACAGCAAGUCUUGAGUUCGAGAGAGGUGGGUGGAAUUCCUAGUGUAGCGGUGAAAUGCGUAGAUAUCGGAAGGAACGCCGGUGGCGAAGGCGGUUCUCUGGGCCUUACCUGACGCUGAGGAGCGAAAGCGUGGGGAGCAAACAGG